UUAACACCAGCAUUCUUGGCUAUUAACUUCAUAGGGUAGCGCAAAGCUCUCUUGACAAUAUCAGCUCCAAUCUUUUGUUCAUCAUUAUCAAGAGUUCCUUUAAUGCCUUCAACUUUGGCAGCAAGCCGCAAUAAGGUGCAUCCACCGCCAACUACAAUGCCUUCGUCAACAGCUGCCUUUGUCGCAUUGAGUGCAUCCUCUACUCUCAAUUUCUUUUCUUUGAGUUCUGUUUCAGUUUGUGCACCAACCUGAAUAACGGCAACACCCCCAGAGAGUUUUGCAAUUCGCUCAUUCAAUUUUUCCUUCUCGUAGUCUUGUUCAGCUUCCUCAAGCAGUCUUUUAAUUUGUGCAACUCUUUUGCUCACUGCAUCCUGUGUACUACCAUCACCAACAAUUGUCGUUGAAUCCUUUGAUAAAACAACCUUGGCAGCAUUUCCUAAGACCUCACUUCCAGCCUGGUCUAGGUAUAAACCAACCUCCUCUCGAAUGACAGUACCUCCAGUAAGGAUAGCAAUGUCAUCAAGAUAUUGGCUUUUUCGAUCUCCAAAACCAGGAGCUUUGAGA
rnacentral:misc_RNA from 1 species